AAAGAAAUCCCCUCGCUACUGAACAAAAACCCUGAACCUUUUAUCAUGGAUGCUUUUGACUGAGACGCUGAAUACACUGCUGCUAGACACCUGCUUUUGUGGUUUGAUCUUUGUUUGACACGAUUAUAUAUUAUCAUUAGUUAAUGCAAGAGUUUAUCUAUUUUGUUUUUUUGUGUAUUAUACUCAAAUCAAACAAGCACAAUUUCUAAAAUGAGGAAAUGAAUUAAAAGCAACACAUCUUCAGGGGAAUCAGGUGAAUGGCAGACUGUAUAUAAAUGAACCACAUGGAGCCACUCCUCUUGUCUAUGUUCACUUCCUCUUUAAUCCAGACUCACUUCUACCUCCACUUUUCAUUCAUGACUUUAGAGAAACUCAGAUCUCAAGAUGAUGAUUAGAUUUCUCUUUUGCUCUUUCCUCACAGCAGGUAUCUCUCUGGGGGUUCAGGUCCACCAGUCUCCCUCCGCUCUCAUCAGAAAGGCUGGUGACUCUGUGCAGCUCGUCUGUACCCACGGACAGACCGACUACACAGUGAUGCUGUGGUACCAGCAGUCACCCACAGACCAGGCUCUAAAACUCAUCGGAUAUGUGCAGCACAGCCAAAUAUACUACGAAGAAUUAUCCAGAGAGCAUUUCAAUAUCACCGGAGAUUUAAGUGGAAACAAAGCAAAGAAUGGUUCUCUAUUUAUAGUGGACCUGACAGAGUCUGAACACAGUGCCGUGUACUACUGUGCAGCUCGAUAUGCACACUGAGGUAGAUCUGCUUUGAACAACACAAAAACUAAACGCUGUUCUUUAUCAACUGUGGUUUAAAAAAACACCUUCAGCAGCCACCUGCAGUCAACGUGUCUGUCAUGGGAGUUUUACAUAAUUACCUUGUCUCUGCAAAUAACAGCAUGGAGGAGAACAUUCCUACUUGAAUGAAACGAGGGAGCAAUUAAUCCAAAAUGUAUUCAAACUAACAUUUAUAAUCUCUAAACAACUUAAUUUUGCAGUGUCAUUUCGCAAAGUAUGUCCCAUAUCACAACAUUAAAGAAAGCGAUGAAGAACUUUUCUUAAUUUUGCUGCCAAACCAACCAACCAGCUGACAGGACUGAAAACAUAACCUCUAUUGUGGAGGUAACAGUGUUAAGUUGUGCUGUAUUUCCUCAAUGAAAGAAAGUUACCUCUGUGUCAAUCUGAUUUCUCAACAUCACUUCCUGUCCCUCCCUCUGAUCAACAAAGCACAGCAGAGACUGUCGCUGGUUCUUCAUA